rnacentral:rRNA from 1 species
CGGUGCCAGCCGCCGCGGUAAUACCGGCAGCUCGAGUGGUCGUCGCUUUUAUUGGGCCUAAAACGUCCGUAGCCGGUUUGGUAAAUCUGUGGGUAAAUCAACUAGCUUAACUAGUUGAAUUCUGCAGAGACUGCCAGACUAGGAACCGGGAGAGGUGUGGGGUACUCAAGGGGUAGGGGUAAAAUCCUGUCAUCCUUUGAGGACCACCAGUUGCGAAGGCGCCACACUGGAACGGAUUCGACGGUCAGGGACGAAGCCUAGGGGCACGAACCGGAUUAGAUACCCGGGUAGUCCUAGGUGUAAACGCUGUGAACUUGGUGUCGGGAGUCCGCAAUGGGCCCCCGGUGCCGGAGUGAAGAUGUUAAGUUCACUGCCUGGGGAGUACGGUCGCAAGGCUGAAACUUAAAGGAAUUGGCGGGGGAGCACUGCAACGCGAGGAGCGUGCGGUUU